AUGCACGCUGGCGGCGUGCCUAAUACAUGCAAGUCGCGCGAACAGACGAGGAGCUUGCUCCUCUGACGUUAGCGGCGGACGGGUGAGUAACACGUGGAUAACCUACCUAUAAGACUGGGAUAACUUCGGGAAACCGGAGCUAAUACCGGAUAAUAUAUUGAACCGCAUGGUUCAAUAGUGAAAGACGGUUUUGCUGUCACUUAUAGAUGGAUCCGCGCCGCAUUAGCUAGUUGGUAAGGUAACGGCUUACCAAGGCAACGAUGCGUAGCCGACCUGAGAGGGUGAUCGGCCACACUGGAACUGAGACACGGUCCAGACUCCUACGGGAGGCAGCAGUAGGGAAUCUUCCGCAAUGGGCGAAAGCCUGACGGAGCAACGCCGCGUGAGUGAUAAAGGUCUUCGGAUCGUAAAACUCUGUUAUUAGGGAAGAACAAAUGUGUAAGUAACUAUGCACGUCUUGACGGUACCUAAUCAGAAAGCCACGGCUAACUACGUG
rnacentral:rRNA from 1 species